rnacentral:rRNA from 1 species
UGCAGUCGAGCGGUAGCACAGAGAGCUUGCUCUCUUGUGACUAGCGGCGGACGGGUGAGUAAUGUCUGGGAAACUGCCUGAUGGAGGGGGAUAACUACUGGAAACGGUAACUAAUACCGCAUAAUGUCUUAAGACCAAAGGGGGGGACCUUCGGGCCUCAUGCCAUCAUAUGUGCCCAAAUGGGAUUAGCUAUAAUGUGUGGUAACGGCUCACCUAGGUGACCAUCCCUACCUGGUCUGAGAGGAUGACCAGCCACACUGGAACUGAUACACGGUCCACACUCCUACGGGAGGCACCAGUGGGGAAUAUUGCACAAUGGGCGCAAGGCUGAUGCAGCCAUGCCGCGUGUGUGAAGAAGGCCUUCGGGUUGUAAAGCACUUUCAGCGGGGAGGAAGGCGGUGAGGUUAAUAACCUCAUCGAUUGACGUUACCCGCAGAACAAACACCGGCUAACUCCGUGCCAUCAGCCGCGGUAAUACGGAGGGUGCAAGCGUUAAUCGGAAUUACUGGGCGUAUAGCGCACGCAGGCGGUCUGUCAAGUCGGAUGUGAAAUCCCCGGGCUCAACCUGGUAACUGCAUUCGAAACUGUGAGGCUAGAGUCUUGUGAGGGCGGAUAGAAUUCCAGGUGUUCCGUGGAAAUGCGUGAGAUCUGGAAGAUUACCGGUGGCGAAGGCGGCCCCCUGGAC